CCCCCCCUCCCUCCCUUCAUAUGGAAAGCAGCACAUACAACUCAAUUUACUUCUAUUGGCUGGAAAUAUUUAAAGCAUGACAGUGGCGUAGGUAAAUUACCAAAUAGUGGAUCUUAUGUUGGAUUGAUCAGCCCUGAUGAACUGACCUGACCAUUGUAAUUGAAACCAUAACUCAUGACCACUCUAUCUGUAUAGGUCCUGGUAUACCCUGGGAUGAUGUUCACCCACAACUUUUAACUUGAAAUCUUAAAGGAAGUUUUGCUAAACUAACAAGCAUGAAUGUCUGGUACAGUAAGAUAGGGUUAAUGGUCAACCUGACAUUAUGGUUCGUUCAUUGGGACAGCUAAUGUUUGUGUCUGACCAAGCAGUUCUCAAGUUAGGGCUUGAUGAAGUCUACAAACUGACCAUUAUAUCUACUGGACAAAAAAGGAUCUUAUAUGUUUAUUUUAAACCUGGUCAAUGCCUAUUUCUCCACUAUUGUCGACAUCUUGAGACAUCACCAUCGGCAGAAACCGAAGACGGCUGAUACAUUUGUGUGGGUGAAAAACUGAAGGCGUCGCUCGAAGACAGCUGAUACAUUUGUGUGGGUGAAAAACUCAAGGCUUCGCUCGAAGACAGCUGAUACAUUUGUGUGGGUGUAAAAUUCAAGGCGUCGCCUGAAGACAGAUGAUACAUCGUUUCCACGUGAGCGCUCGUCACCAACUUUUGACACGCUCUUGCAUUGUCGAGGUUUCACCUUACAUUGCUAUACAGAAGGUCCUCCAUUUAGACCUCUGUUCACUUAUGGUCAUUCUAAUUUUUCAGAGACUUUACAUAUUUGGAUUAUCUAAGCUGAAGUUCUCCACUUAAGUACUGUUGGAUUAUUUAUACGAAUGUUCAAGUACUUUUGGAUUAUUGAUCUUUGACGUUGAAGUUGGACUAACUUGUACCUAUUGGCGCUCUCCUAGUCAUCGUUGUACGACGAAGAAAUAACACAUGCCUGCAUUACUACACUUACAUUUUGGAUUAUCUUAUUGGAUUAUUUGGAUUACCUGUUGGACUUGUGUUAAUUGUAAAGGUCAAGAGGAAAUAUUUUUUGACAUUACUUGAGCAUUUGAGCCAUCUUAUGGCAUAUGACUGGAUUAUUUUACUACUACUUUGAUGCUCACAUUGAUGUGUAUUCUCAAUCGGAUUACUUAGUUACCUUACCCAUGGAUUAUUAUUGAACUACUCAAGCUGUAUUUGUAUUUGACAAGCUACAAGAGAGGAUUAAUCUACAUCAGUCUACAAAAGAAAGUCUGUAAGUUAUAAUUAAGGAUUGAAUAUAUUCAUAUGAUUAAUAAAGUACAUUGAUUUUGCUGUGGUAUAGCAGUAAUUGAAGUUGAUUAUAUAUAGAGUUAGUGAUUGAUAACUCUUGGAACCAUAUUAAAUUGAUUUUCAUUUUUUAUAUUUGUUACCUUAAAGGGCGGUCGGCGUGGGUCUGUCUUAUGUUUUGAGACUGAAUCGGCACAAUUUAUUUGUUCCGUUCGUUUUCACUUCAUCUGAUAGGGAUCUUUAGGGAUUUUCUUGUUGUUCUCCUAGUCCUAAUAAGGUCCGAGUAGACCAGCCUUGUUCAGUAGGGACUUCUAAAUCAUUUUGAAAUUUUUUGUUUAGUGGUAUAUAGUUUUGUUUGUACAAUCGUAGUGUGAUUUCUCUUUGUAUUCAUAUUGUUUGUUUGUGUAAGUCUUGUAUUUACAUAUCUGUGAUUCUCUUGUCAAAGUCUUCUAUUUAUUGAUUUCUUUUAAAGCAGACUGUAUUGUUAUCUAUAUUGUUUUUGUGUUCGUCACCUAUACUUUAAUUUAUCUCUUUAUUCUCUCAUUAAUUAAUUUUUUUUUCAUUUUUUCACUGCACAUUUAACAUGUUACAAAGAUAUAUUUGAAGUAAUAAUAUUGUGUACAUAUAUACUAUCACUUGAAUUAGAGCCUUAUUUUUUGAGCUCUUGUACUUAUUUUGUAUUGACACAUUUCUCGUACUCUGAUUAUUUUGUUGGUACAUUUUGACGCAACACUUAUUACUAUUGACUCAUUUGUACAUUGUAUUUUGCACACAUUGAUUACAAACUCAACACAUUUAUUGGCCAUCUAUUAUUUAAAUAUCAAAGAUACAUGCAAAGUGAAACAUUAUUAUUUGUAUUUUGAUAACUAAGCACUCACUACACAGUUAAUACUACAUACAGAUUGGAAUCCUAUAUAUUUGUUGACUUUAUACACAUUGAAGAUUAUUUAAUAUUUAUUGACAUUAUACACACUUGAAGCCUAAACCCAUACCUAUCAACAAUGUCUACCUAUGAUAAAAUCUUGGAGUUGGCCAGAGAAAUGGAAUUGAAGGGUGAAAAGAAAAGAGAUUUUAUCGAAAGAGAAUUGGAUGAAUUAAAGAAGAAAGAACGUGAAGUAGCGGAACGAGAUGAACGAGCGGCAGAAAGAGCGCAUCAGAAAGAAAUGAAAGAAAUAGAGGGAAAAGUUGAGUUAGCUAAACUGGAAGCUGCAAAAGUGAAUCCGAACAUAUUACAACCACUGACACAGCAAGCCAAACCAUACGUCUCGAAGUUCCCUAAGUUCAAUGAGAAAAACGAAACUCUUGAAAACUACAUUGUGCAAUUUGAGCACAUAGCCUCAACGUAUGACAUGUCUCCUAGAGAUAUGGCCAAGCACCUACUCGCCAAUCUUGCAGGUGAACCGCUGAACAUAAUAGCCACCCUGACACCUGAACAAAAGACUGACUACAAGGCUGUGAAAAACAGACUCCUCAAACACUUUGGCAAAUCCGAGGACCACUACAGAAAACUCUUUCGAGACAUCAGAUUGCAAAAGAACGGUGAUUACAACAGAAUUAUUUUUGAAAUUAAGCAAAAUAUCUUAAAGUGGCUUGAACUCUCCAACUGUGAUAUGACGAGACCAGACCAAAUCAUUGAUAUGUUCUUAAUUGACAGUGUACUAUUGAAUGUUACAGACAACAUUUUCACUUUCCUGAAAGAGAAGAAAAUUAAAAACGAAACAGAACUCAUAACUAACCUGAAUUUAUUCAAAGACAGCCAUCCCAAUCACACCAUCGACAGAAGAGACCAUCAUUAACACUGAUUCAAGUAAAUUCAAAUACAGCAGCAACAAUAAAACCUGCUUUAACUGCGGCAUAAAGGGUCACAUAAAGAGCCAAUGUAGAUCAAUCAACAGAAGCACUUUCCAGUAUCAAAGUGGCACAUAUCGAGACAAUAAAUAUGACAACAGAAGAAACAGCAGAGCAACCCAAAGUUACAGCCCUAAUGAUAGAAGAAGGCAAUACAACACCAACAACGAUAAUUACAACUUCCAGAACUAUCAAAGAAGACAGCAAUACAAUACCAACAACUUUCAGAACUAUCACAGACAAUCCAGACGUGAUGGCUACGAACGAAACAGAUACAACAGAAAUACUUCAAACAGAUGGCAAAGUAACAGCAACAAUAGAAUCCAUAGACGCCCUAGCAGUUAUGACAACUCAGCCGCAACCAUCGACACUCACGAACACGAACAUGUAGCAUUCAUGAACUCAACUCCAGAAAAUAAUUCCUAUCCAUUACUUACAAACGGGCUGGACAACGCAUCACGAAACAGUAACAUUAGAACUGGAAACACACAUGACACUAGUAGUUAGCAAGCUAGACAUAGGGCAGCACAACAUACAAUUUUGUUUAUUAUACAAUAGGAUACAACACCAUCACAAAAUCACUAAAUAUCAGUAAUAUAACUAAACAAUGACAUUGUUCACAUAAGUCAACAACUAUAAUUAUCACACUAUUUUACAUAACACUAGCACCGUUAAGGACUCGUUAGCCAGUACAAGUGUAAUUCAUUGAAUCUGUUGAUGCCAUAUUCUACAUAUAACUUUGAUUGUAUUUGUACACAUGACACUUCAAAAGGUCAUAUGUGCCCAAUUUUUGCAUAUGUGUAAAUUAUUUUUCCAAGAGUCCAUUUGAACAGAACGAAGUCAUAUUAAAACCUGAGUAUGUGACACUAUUUAUUGAAAUGUAUUUUUCAUUUUUUCAAAUGUACAUAACCUUUGUAAAUUGUAUAGAUAUGACUGUGACAUUGAUCUUCACUGAUGAAUUUAUUUUUUCCCACAUAUCAGUUUUGAAGACUAUUUGAGCUUAAUUCGAGGCUUGAAACGAUACACUUGAUGAUAUGUAAUGCAAACAAUGAUUUUUUGAAAAGAAUAUUGUAUUUAAUUAGUGAGAUCUAUUUGAGCAUUACUGAUGGCUUGAAAAAUAAUUGAUACUGUGUAAUGCAAACUGAAUCUUUGAACUUUGAAUAGAAGAUUGUACUUAAUAUGAGAAGUAUUGGAGCAUUAUUGAUGGCUCAUGAAGUAAUAUAUAUAAUGUGUGAUGUAAUCGCUGAUUUUUUUAGGAGAAGAUUGUAUUUAAUAUGAGAAAAUUAUUUGAGCAUUAUUGAUGGCUCGUGAAGCAAUACAUUUGAUGUGUGUCGUAGACACUGACUUUUUGAGAAGAUUGUAUUUAAUAUGAGAAAAUUAUUGGAGCAUUAUUGAUGGCUCGUGAAGUAAUAUAUUUGAUGAUGUGUGAUGUAGACACUGAUAUUUUUUGAGGAGAAGAUUGUAUUUAAUGACAAAACUUUUGGAGCAUUAUUGAUGGCUCAAGCAGUAUAUUUUAUAUUAUGUGAUGAUAACACUAAUUUUGAGAAGAAUAUUGUAUGGAUAUGAGAAAACUAUCGAAGCAUGAUUAAUGGCUCGAAGUAAUAUUCUUGAUUUUUGAAAGAACAUUGUACUUGAUUCAUGAAGACUAUUGGAGCACUAUUAAUGGCUCGAAGUAACAUAUUUGAUGUUACAUAACGUGAAAAGCUGAUUCAUUUUUUCGAGAGAAGAUUGUAACUUACACUUAUGUUAAAAGAACUUGUGCUCACAGUAAGACAUAUGAGCCAAAUGAAUAUCAUGAUAACGACCUUGAUGCUUUAAUAUGCUUAUGACUUUGAUGAUUUAAAUAUGUUCCUCAUAAAUCAUCAUUAAAGAAUAUAUUUUCUUGACUUUCAUGAUUUAGUAGCAUUGUCAAAACAUUGCCAUUAUUUUUGUACAUAAACCAUUGAGACAACAUAAAUAUUUAUUAUAGAUACAUUUCACUUGCAUUGAUUUAUUUUAAAGAACAUUGUCAAUAUCUUUUCAUUUGACCAUGUAACCAUUGUCAAUAUUUUUCAUUUGAUUAUGUAACCUGAUGGGAUAAACUAAGUAUAUUUGUAUACGAGCAUUUUUCAUGGCUGCUCAUUCCUUUGUAAAAUUAAUAUUGAAAGCAUUCUUUUGAUAAAUUGAGAAUUUACUUUGAAAUUUUGUGUAAAGAAACACUUGCUUUUUGAGUAAUGUUGACAACUAUGAGUAUUGUCUACACAGACAAAUAUUUUUUCAAAUAUUGUAAGGUCAAAUGAGACCAUAUAUUAGUCUCAUCAAAUUUUUUGAUGGCAUGAUAAGACAUGUGCCAGAGAUUAUAGCACACAUUGUACAUUUGUAUGGAUUAUUUCUCUCUCAAAAGAUGUGACUAUACAUAUAAUAGUAUUAUUACUUAAAUUUCAAUUUCAAAUUUCAAAUUUUUUAGGGAAAGGGCGUAAUGUCACAGUCUUAGUUGACAUUGCAUGAUCUAAAGUUCACAUCAUGUUAAUAGUUUAAAAGACACGUGGAAUUCCUAAUGUAGAAAACAGGAAGUAGAAUGAAUAAAGUUGACUUUGAAGUCAGUCAGUCAGUCAAGUAAAGCAGUCAAGUGAAGUCAAGUUAGAAGUCAAGUGUUAUUCUUUGGACCGAGUGGUCAAGUAUAUUUUAGUCCGGGAUGGACAGUAGCGACUUAGAAAAGUCUGUAGUAAUUUCAGUUAGAAAGUAACUUGUGGGCAGUUGUUGCCAGUGGUCUUUUGAGACAUGUAUUAGUUAAUCUAUAUUUCUACACAGUGUUGCCCGCUGAGAUGCGGACAUGAUUUGUUGUUAACGUAUUGGAUACUUUUGAUACCGCUGUUAUGCGGAUAGGAUUAUUAUUUCUUGACUUGUAGCACUAACAAGGAGUGCAGUAUAUUAUUAUUAUUAUAGUAAAAUAACUUCAUGUUGUCUGCUGAACAGACUUGAGUCAGUCGUAUAGUGUUUGUCUUGUCACGUGUCUAGAGUACUUCAGGAAGUAAGAACUCAAUAUUACACCAUUCAACGUUCAUUGACAGACCCCCUCCCUCCCAACCAUUUCCUCUGCCUUAUCUUGAUGACUUUGACUUUAAUUAGACAUUAAGCUUUCCAUGUGCUGAAAUUUAGCAUUGUAGAACGGGAAAUAAAUUGUCUAUGACAGUUCAAAGUGUGUAUAAAUUUUUUUUGACGCACUCUGUAAAUAUAUUGUAUUCAGUGAUUUUUUUAUUUUACCAUUUUCUAAUAUUAGUUUGUUAGCUCAAUAACUAUUAACCUUUUAGAUUGUUAUCUUUCGUAAUGUUAAGACUAGAAAACAAGAUCUCAAAAUUAUAUUUAGGACGAUGAUUACAAUUACUUAGUCAAUUACUUAGAUAAAAUAAUUAUAAAACAAAAGUUAUAUAAAGACAUAAUUAUACAAUGUUUAUAUUUUGUAUGUUCAUAAAAAUGUGUAUAGCAGUGUUAUGGAGUGUGUGUGUGUGGGUGUUUCCAAGGUAACGUUGAGAAAUUAGCGAUUGGUUGGCGGAUAUGCAGUGAGGAUGGUGAAAUUACAAAAAUGGUCUAGUGUAAUGCAAAUUACCCAGGGAUCUGAAACUGUACAGACAGGUUUUUUGUAGUGAGUUAGAUUUUGUUUAAAAUACCAUUUUAUAUUAUUGCUACUAGAUUUAUUUCAUUUCAUCUAGGUUAGUAUUAGGGUUAGUGUUAUGUUGUAAUAAAAGUUAUAUUUAGUUUUGUUUCAAAAAAGAAGUUUUUUCAAGUUUCAUAUUAAAUAUAUAUAUAUCCAAGCAGCAGUUCUCACCAAACUGUCAUACACUGGCAGAACUACCUUAAAAAAAUGUUCUGCUGGAGGCUGGUGUGGGUAGUAUAGAAGAAAUACUUAUCAUUCAACAUCUGUGAUGGGUUGGAAAAUUAUCCCACAUGGGGGGCGACUGCAUGCCAAAUAUAUCUUCAAGGAUGGCGUAACGGGGUGCUCCUGUAAGCACUAUAAAGAUUAACUCAGGCACCUUUUUGCCAUAGAGGAAAGUAGGUUGUAAUAGGGUUUAUGAAAACACUGCACCAAUCUUUUAUCUUCAGCAUCAUUAUUAUUAUUAAACCAUUACUCAAAUUUUGCUUUGUUAUUUUGCCAUGUAGAGAUUUACUGCUGCUGGGGUGAACAAUGCUUAAAAAAAUACAAAUAUGCUGUGUUUUUACUUUGGCCCAGCGGUGGCCCCCACAUUUAUGUCUUUUGUAUUUUUCUAUACCAGUUCUGUUACUAUGCAAAUGCAAUAAAAAAAAAAAUACAAGUUGUUGCACUAUUGAUAUUUUUUAUACUAAUUUUUUAUUUAUAUUAUUAAUUAUUUAUUAUUAUCUAAGCAUCUGUUUGUAUUUGAGCUGGGUAAUGAAUAUAGAUUCUUAAAUUUAAUUGUUGUUUGUUGCUUUCCUCACUUUUAAACUGUGACCAUGUAAAUUUUGUCUAGAUGGAGAAUGGUAAUGUCUUAGUGUUAAUGAUUAGAUUGAGAAUGGUAAUGUCUUAGUGUCAUUGAUAACAGUGAGAAUGGUAAUGUCUUAGUGUCAAUGAUAACAGUGAGAAUGGUAAUGUCUUAGUGUCAAUCAUUGCAUUGAGAAUGGUAAUGUCGUAGUGCCAAUGAUAACAGUGAGAAUGGUAAUGUAUUAGUGUCAUUGAUUAGAUUGAGAAUGGUAAUGUCUAGUGUCACUGAUUAGAUUGAGAAUGGUAAUGUCUUAGUGUCAAUGAUAACAGUGAGAAUGGUAAUGUCUUAGUGUUAUUGAUUAGAUUGAUAAUGGUAAUGUCUUAGUGUCAAUGAUUACAUUGAGUAUAGUAAUGUCUUAGUGCCAAUGAUAACAGUGAGACAAUCAUUAGAUUGAGGAUGGUAAUGUCUUAGUGUCAAUGGUGUAACACUAUGAUUAGAGUGAGAUGAACGAGAUGAUUUCAGUUCACGUGAAAAUGGGUCUUACACAUUGUCUAGCAAAGAGGUACCAUUUUUUAUCACAUGACCACGUUUUUUUAGUAAGUUAGCGCCAUGAUGUAUCAAGAGACGUAGGUGUCUCUGUUUUAUGAAAUUGGAUUAAAUAAUAUGAGUACCUAAGUGGACAUUUUUCUAUGGAUGUAGUUUGUAUUUGAUGUGAAAUAAUUCGUGAUGAUAUUGUAUGGCUGAGAUUGCCUACUUUCUGAACUAUUAUUUGAUGUAAUAAAUAUUUGUCUGACA